GAUGAACGCUGGCGGCGUGCUUAACACGUGCAAGUCGAGCGAACGGACGAGAAUCUUGUUUUUCUGACGUUAGCGGCGGACGGGUGAGUAACACGUGGAUACCCUACCUAUAAUACUGGGAUAACCUCGGGACACCGGAGCUAAUACCGGAUAAUAUUCUGCACCGUAUGGUUCAAUAGUGAAAGACGGUCUUGCUGUCACUUCUAGAUGGAUACGCGCUGCAUUAGCUUGUUGGUAAGGUAACGGCUUAUCAAGGCAACGAUGCAUAGCCGACCGGAGAGGGGGAUCGGCCACACGAGAGCUGAGACGCGGUCCAGACUCCUACGGGAGGCAGCAGUAGGGUAUCGUACGCAGUGGGCGAAAGCCUGGCGGAACAACGCCGCGUGAGUGAUAAAGGUCUUCGGAUCGGAAAGCUCUGUUAUUAGGGAAGAACAUAUGUGUAAGUAACUGAGCACAGCUUGACGGUACCUAAUCAGAAAGCCACGGCUAACUACGUG
rnacentral:rRNA from 1 species